UUAUAAGAGACAGCAGCCGCCACGGGAAUACAGAGGGUGCGAGCGUUAAUCGGAUUUACUGGGCGUAAAGCGUGCGUAGGCGGCUUCUUAAGUCGGAUGUGAAAUCCCUGAGCUUAACUUAGGAAUUGCAUUCGAUACUGGGAAGCUAGAGUAUGGGAGAGGAUGGUAGAAUUCCAGGUGUAGCGGUGAAAUGCGUAGAGAUCUGGAGGAAUACCGAUGGCGUAGGCAGCCAUCUGGCCUAAUACUGACGCUGAGGUACGAAAGCAUGGGGAGCAAACAGGAUUAGAUACCCCUGUAGUCCCUGUCUCUUAUAC
rnacentral:rRNA from 1 species